rnacentral:miRNA from 1 species
UUAUUUUUUGAGAAUACA